UAAAGCGACUUUAUAUAUAGCUUAGUUGAGCGAUAUCAGGCAUAAUGCCCUACAACGUAGCGGUGCCACAUGCUUGAGAAGUUUUUUUAUUCAAAAAUCAAAAUUCUCAAUCAUGCGACACUUUAAUCGCUAUCCCAUAUUAUUUAGGGAAUGGGACUCUUCACCGAGGUUGUAAAAUGAGACAAACGAUUUUAGCUGUAU
rnacentral:ncRNA from 1 species